ACUUAUGUAAUCAAUACACACUCUCCAAUCGGUGACCGUGCGAGUGGGAAUCAAUUCAUUUUUCUCAUUUAGUAUCACUAUUUUUCCUCUCUUCUUUGGUACCACAUGUACCGGACUCACCCAUGAGCUAUCAGAAAUAGGGUAGAUCAGACCUGCAUCUAAUAGCUUCACCACUUAUUUUCUCACCACCUCCUUCAUUGCUGGAUUAAGCCUUAUUUGGGUUUGUACCACUAUUUUGUGAUUAUCCUCCAUCAAUA
rnacentral:lncRNA from 1 species